UGGACGUGGCGGCUCCCCAGCACCAUGGGCAGUCAGUCUGACAGGCUGUCUCUCUACUGCUUCCCGCCAGCUCGUGCUCCUUCGUCACCACUCACAAGUACCUGCCUUGGAGCGUGCCAGGUCGGUAAUGACGUCACCACUUCUUUAGCCAUCAGGUCACAAUGGCGCCAGGCUGGCCUCAUUCUCCUAGGGGGCUAGUUAGUUCAUGCAGCUGGGAGUGGGGAAGGAAUUCAAGGCUUCAAGUGAGCAUCCAGUCUUUAAAUCCAAUCCCCGCCCCAGCGGCAGCGCAGAGGGAUUUAGGCUCGUGCGUGAGGCCACUCUUGCAUCCUUAGGCACAGAAGUUUCCCCAUGGCCUGACUGCCAGGUGCUCCCUCACAUCUCGUCAGCCUCAGCCCAGGAAAGCACAGGGCAGAGCCCACCUGCCUUGGAGUUGCUGAUUUGAUCGUACAGUUUUUUGCCUCGUCUAAAGAGUAUCCGAACCGCGCCAUCAAUCCAAACGCUGGGAAGGCCGGUAAUAUGGGCCAGGCUUUAUCCACAGAGCAUAAGCCGAAUCUGUGAUUGCAGCCGAGUCUCCUGGCUGGCCCCUAGCCAUGCGCUUUAGAGGAUGGGGGCCAGGAGAGUGGCUGGGAUCCUGCUCUAAUCAGGUUUCCUGGUAAGAAGCCCAGCCCUGCUCCCAACUGCAGUGGGUCUGUCCAUUGUUAAUGACAGAUGUCCAACAGCUGGCACCACCAACCCCACUCCAGCUCCCAUCUCACCCUCACUUCUUCCAGUCAAUUCUCCCUCCAUCCCAACCCAGUAAUUCCUGGACCUGAUCCCCAGCUGGAGGUGGCUGCUUCCUGGCCUGGAGUUUGACGCCGUGACCCUCCCAGCCCCGCUCCCCAGCUGGCCACGUGACAGCACUCCACUUAAUUCAGGAUUUGAGGCAGAGAGGGGAUUAAAGAGUGGUCAUUAUUCACAU